UCAGUUCAGUUUCUAUCCAACGUUUCCACACAAGCGGUGUAUUGCCAGUGUCGCAAAUUAAAGAGUCCAACGGACGAUUUUAUCUGGCAAUUUGCAGGAAACGUUGAACCUGAAAUUCUACUCAACCCAAAAACCAUCAGCCAAACAAAAAAACAAAAUAAAAUCAUAAUUUCACCGGCGCGUAACAAAAAUCUUUUGUAAACGCGUUUCCAUAAAUAUUUUGUGGCGGCCAGACACAAAGUAACGCUUCACCGAUUUCAUCUGCAAGCAAAGGAAACGUGUGCAAGGAACGCUAAUACCAACCAGCAACAACCCCUAACGAAACGAAAAAGCUCUCCUCCUUUGUUGACGAGACUGCAAUUUUCGUUUGUCAAGGAAACUACGUGGAAAAACGGCAAAUUUUCGCGUAAUAUCCAAAAUUUAAACAUUUUGGAGAUAAAAGUUUCCAUCAAAAAAUAUAUAUAUAUAAAAUAUAUUAUAAACGUUUGCGUCAAAAUAAGCGUCCUAGUGUUCUGGCCAGGCCUCCCAACUAACUACCGGCUUUACCAUCAAACAUCUGAUGUAUAAAAACAAUAACAAAACAAUACUUAAUCAAUAUACUUAGUACUUACUUGUAAGCAACGCAAAUGCAUCUAAUCGCUCGGCAAGUACGAAGAAACACUUGUUAGCCUAUAUGAAUUGCAUUUUGGGUCUUGUAUGAGAAAACAACAAAGCUUAAAUUAAUCAAAGCAAAAAAGAACAAAAAAAUAUUAUAAAAAUAUAUACAUAUAUAUAUUAAUUAAUCUACCUAAUUAAAACGUAGUGUGCUGAGAAACACAAAUAAAAAAAUUGUCGACAAUUAUAACAUCUGCUACAACAUCUUAAAGUCUACUGAAGUCCUUCAAAAAGUGUUAAAACGAGAUAAAACAUUGUUGAAGAACCAAAUCUUUUAACAAAGUGCUAAAAUUAAUUUAACUCUGCCGGUCCCAAUGGGUCAAAGGUUAUCCUUCAAAAGGUGUUGAAAUUGAAUUUCGUAUUAAGUUGGGAUUGCAUCCAUUAAAUCAACACCUCAACCCGUAGUAUGUAUAAUCCUUAAACCAACGAUAGCAGGAACAACGAUUAUCUCAGCCCUGCUACGAAUACAGCGGCGUAGAUAAGGCAUUUUAUUUGAAGUACUAUACCCAAGAUUAGUACUUCUAUCGAAAUGUGCUGAGUAUCAUACAUUUGAAAAUCUACAACUCAACUGAACCAGAAUAAAUUUAUUUAAAGUGUUGACAUAUCUUGCAAAGCAAGAAUUUCAACCAGUCAACGUUCUAUAAUCACAUCAAUGCUUAAAGUUUAAUGCAGACUUACACUAUAGAAUGAUAUAAGCCAGCAAAGCGAGCAAAUACAACAAGAUCAACUAAUUACUCCAUUGAGAAAAAAAAACGUUUACAAACAUCAAAAUGCUCUUCAAAUUCCUGAGCAGUAACAUGGCAAUACUAAAGAGGAAUUAAAUCAACGUUAAACCGCAACCAUUAACGAUAAAAUGCAACCGACCACCACAAACACCAUGCUAUGCCGAUGUUACAAAGUAAAACGCUAGUUGAUGUGAUUACUAAUACCAACUAAAAAUAAUAAUGUUUUUACAAAUUGAUAUGUCAAACUUUUUUUAAAGUUGGCGCGGAACUCCA
rnacentral:sRNA from 1 species